rnacentral:rRNA from 1 species
GAUUCUGGCUCAGGAUGAACGCUGGCGGCGUGCCUAACACAUGCAAGUCGAACGGAAACUAGACGCUUCGGAGACUUCGGUCAAUGUUGUUUAGUUUAGUGGCGGACGGGUGAGUAACGCGUGGAUAACCUGCCAUAUACAGGGGGAUAACAGUUAGAAAUGACUGCUAAUACCGCAUAAGCGCACAGUCUCGCAUGGGACAGUGUGAAAAAACUCCGGUGGUAUAUGAUGGAUCCGCGUCUGAUUAGCCAGUUGGCGGGGUAACGGCCCACCAAAGCGACGAUCAGUAGCCGGCCUGAGAGGGUGAACGGCCACAUUGGGACUGAGACACGGCCCAAACUCCUACGGGAGGCAGCAGUGGGGGAUAUUGCACAAUGGGGGAAACCCUGAUGCAAGCGACGCCGCGUGAGUGAAGAAGUAUUUCGGUAUGUAAAGCUCUAUCAGCAGGGAAGAUAAUGACGGUACCUGACUAAGAAGCACCGGCUAAAUACGUGCCAGCCGCCGC